AGUCACUGACAUUAGAUACCCGGGUAGUCCAGGGUGUAAACGCUGCAGACUUGGUGUUGGAAGCCCUUUGGGGGCAUUCAGUGCCGGAGAGAAGUUGUUAAGUCUGCUACUUGGGAGUACGUCCGCAAGGAUGAAACUUAAAGGAAUUGGCGGGGGAGCACCGCAACGGGAGGAGCGUGCGGUUUAAUUGGAUUCAACACCGUAAACUCACCAGGGAAGACUGUUACAUGAAGGCCGAGCUAAAGACUCUGCUAGAUUUUCAG
rnacentral:rRNA from 1 species